UAGGUCCUGGCCGGGAUCGAACCGGCGGCCUACUGCGUGUAAAGCAGACGUGAUAACCACUACACCACAGGACC
ensembl:ncRNA W03C9.11 ncRNA